rnacentral:misc_RNA from 1 species
ACGAUGACACACUUCACUAUCAGCCUGAAUCACCAUCCUUUGGUAUAUCUCCACCUUCGCAACCUCCGCCUCCUCCUCCUCCUCCACCUCCACCUCCACCUCAAUCAGUGUUCUAUAAUUUGUUCAGAAAAGGAAGCAAAAAUAAGAGAAUUCAUUCAUUUUCAGCUCCACCACCACCUCCACCACCACCUCCUCCUCCACCACGACAGUCUCUCACCGCAUCAAAGAGGUGGUCCAAGCGUAAGAGUCAGAUACCACCUCCUCCACCGCCCCCGCCCCCGCCCCCAGCACCAGUAACACCUCCCCAAGCACCCUCCAGACGGCGGAAUUCUACAACAACAGGCCGGCCACCGUUACCAACAAGAGCUAAUAAUAAUUCCUACGAGGAAAAUGUGAAUAGCCAAGGGCAAUCCCCUCUCAUUCCAAUGCCCCCACCACCUCCACCUCCGCCGUUCCGAGUGCCAGGUUUUAAAUUUACAGUCAAAGGGGAC